rnacentral:lncRNA from 1 species
UGCCUCAAACUUGGAAUCCUCCUGUCUCAGCCUCCCAGGUUGCUAGGUGGCAUGCACCACUGCACUCAGUGUUUUAAAUUAAUUGUGGCAAUUCCCAUUUUCAUUAAGAAUGCUCUAAGAGGAGUAGUACCAAAGGAAUGCUUAAUCUUAUUAAGGCAAAAAGGUGGAAAGAGCCUUGAGAAAAAGUGGUGGUUUUGGAGGAGUUUGUUCUUAAAAGAAUGAGGAGUUUGUUCUUUCAAAUGACUAAAUCAAAAUGAAAAAUGUUAUAAUAGAAAAGCAGACAUGGGACUUGGGUUGUAGCUCAAUGGUAGAGUGCUGACCUAGCACAUACGAGGCACUGUGUUCGAUCCUCAGCACCACAUAAAAAUAAAAUAAAGGUAUUGUGUCCGUCUAAAACUAAAAAAUAUUUUAAAAAAAGAAAAGCAGACAAAGGACAUGUUAUUUCAUCAAAAAGGAAAUACAAAUGGGCAGUAAAUAAAAAAUAAUGAACCCUAUUAAUAAUUAGGAAAAUACAGAUGAACAGUGAGAUGCCAUUCAUUACCAUCAGAUUGUCAACAGUUAAUAUUCCUGAAAAGUAUUGGUAUAGAAUAAAUUGCCAUUAUUUCAUAGAACACGUUGGUAAUAUCUAAUAAAGUUAAAGAUGUGUACAACCUGUGACCCAGUAAGAAAGUGUAGAUUUUAAGCGUCUUUAUGGCUUAUACAUACUUUUCCUCAUAAAAUUUGAUUCUUGGAGGUUUAGCAUCAAUUGUUUUUGUUUUUUGGUGGGUGGGGAUACUGGGAUUGAACCCAGAAAUGCGAUACCACUGAAUUACAUUCCCAGCCCUUUUUAUUUUUAUUUUAGGACCUAGUCUUAAAAGUUGCCUAGGGCUGGGCUUGAUGGGCUCUAAUCCCAGUGGCGGGAGGCUUAAGCAGG